rnacentral:rRNA from 1 species
UGGGGGAUAUUGCACAAUGGGCGAAAGCCUGAUGCAGCGACGCCGCGUGGGGGAUGAAGGCUUUCGGGUUGUAAACCUCUUUCUCUAUCGAACAAGGCCCGCUUAGGGUGGGUUGAGGGUAGGUGGAGAAGAAGCGCCGGCUAACUACGUGCCAGCAGCCGCGGUAAUACGUAGGGCGCGAGCGUUGUCCGGAAUUAUUGGGCGUAAAGGGCUUGUAGGCGGCUUGUUGCGCCUGCUGUGAAAACGCGGGGCUUAACUUCGCGCGUGCAGUGGGUACGGGCAGGCUUGAGUGUGGUAGGGGUGACUGGAAUUCCAGGUGUAGCGGUGGAAUGCGCAGAUAUCGGGAGGAACACCGAUGGCGAAGGCAGGUCACUGGGAAAUUACUGACGCUGAGGAGCGAAAGCAGGGGUAGCGAACAGG